UUUUGGUUCCUUAAUAUGGUCUUUGAAGCUUUAUUUUAAUUUAAGGAGGAGGAGAAACAAAAAUGGAGAAAUCAGGUUAGUAAUAGCAGCAACCAACCUAGUAAGAGUACCAGGAACUAUGCAAAGCUGCAGAAAUAUUACGUCAUUAAAUCUUCUCAACAACUCUAUGAGUUGUCCCCCUUCAUAGAUGGAGAAUUUAAGGUGUAAAAUUGUUAAGUAGCCAGCCUGAAGUCCCACAGCUUAUAAUGGCAGAGCAGACAUUGGAAUCCCCAUAAACCGCCUUCAGAAUCCAUACAGUACGCCACCUAAAACGGACCUAGGACCAAACUUGGAAUCCAUAGAGUUGAAGAUCAGUGGGUAGGUUUAAUAAAAGCACCCCACAGCAAUCUUGUGUCCUCAGUUAUAUGGGGCAGCUGUAACCCAAAAUACUCGGACCAGCUGUCCGCACAAGGGCACUUGAGAUCAUCAGACCAACUGCUCUCUUAUCGAAACGUUCCUGGCUCAUAUUUCACUGCAGAGUGUUGGUGCAUACGUGGUAUUAAAUGUACCGACUCUGUUUGUUCAUUGAUUAGUUUGAAACCUUACCUGUGGUUCAUUCUCUAAACGGAGAAUAGGCCCAGGUUUCAUUGGGAAAUCUUCAACUUCUCCAAAUACUAGGCGAUCACACAGAGAUUUUAAAUGCAUGCAUUUAUAAUCAAGAACCUUCACCUGCCUAGCGUCCUCCUACAGAACUAGAGAAGAUGCUAGAAACAAAGGCAUUUCUUACUUUAGUGAGCAUAGAGCAGAGGUUUUCUUUGGUCCCUUUAAAUGGUUGUGAUUAAAACAACAACCCAAAUGGGUUUACAUUACUUAUUUUCAAAAACACUUCUUUACAUUAAGGAUGAUGUGGAGAAUAGAUGAAGCCCCAAGUGCAUAUGCCUGGGUCAGUGCUUCAGACAUGGGAAUGGCAAAGACUUCCUUGGUCCAAAUACUAAUGUGGAUGUUGUGUGCACAAAGUAUAAACUAUCACUUCCAUUCCCCUGAGACUGCAAAAGGAUUAAGAAGAUGCCUACUGAAAUUAGACCUCCGAUUGAUGUUACACAUCACUCUCUCUCUCUCUCUCUCUCUCUCUACUGAGAUUUGACCGUCUCCCACAGGCAGCUCCUACUGACAUUGGCUGAUUAGCCUCCUAACUGGGAUGUUUUAGGAGGUUAUUGGUGUGACUUCAGCAGAGUACUUUGCAGCCACCAGGUCCCAGCUUUUCUGUGUGUAUGUCUGUUCCCUACCUCCAACUCCCAUUGUCCUCCUCUUUCCCCUAUCCCUACUCCCACCCCAGUUAGGUGAAUUCCCAAGCCUUGCAGGUCACAGCAUUACUUAGCUUCAAAAAAAUAUGUUGCUGCUCUACUUAGCCUUCUUGUUUGUAUCUUUUGUUUGUUUUGUUUUGUUUCAAGAUAGGGUCUCUCUGCAUAGACUUGGCAAUUCUGCUAUUCACGCUGUAGACCACGCUGGCUUCGAACUCUCAGAGAUCUGCCUGCCUCUGCCUCCGAAGUGCUGGGGUUAAAGGUGUGUGUACCACUCCCAACCUUGUUUCUGCAUCUUGAAGUUUCUAUUUUUCUCAAAUAAAAACUCUCUGAUUUUGUAUUACUAAAAUCAUGAAGAAUUUGCAUAUCGAGACUGUAAUUUCCUCCAAAUCUUUUUAAGUUCAUUUACUUAGUCUAUAUAACAUUUGCUCUUACAAUCUUCUUACUAAUCAAGUAACUGGCUGAUGAACAGCUGAAGGAGAGAAUGAGGAACUGUUUAUCCCUGUACCCAUAAGAGAGAUGUCCUUCUUUUGGUCACAGAGUCUCACUGCUGCAAGGCGACCCCCUCUCAGACUUGAAAUUCUUCUGCCUCUGUAUCCUGUGUCCUGGAUUGCGGGCAUGAGCUGCCACUUGUUUUUAAAGACUACAUAAAAAAAAAAAAAAGCAACAACAACAAAAAACAUUUGUUUUAUUUUUUUAAAUUACGUGUACCCUUGUAUGGUGGGUGCAGAUACCCAUGACAGCCAGAAGAGGUUGUUGGAUGCCUGGACCUGGAGUUAGAGCUAUGAGCUGCUUAAUGUGAGUGCUGAGAAUUCUGCAAGAGCAGCAAAUCCCUCUUUACUGCUGAGCCAUCUCUAUAGAGACUGAAUUUUAACAUUAAGGCUUAUGGUUUCCAUGAAAACCACACACGAAAGGCCUUAUUCUAUAUGACUACCUUGUUUCAAAUACUCUCACGUUAUUAGAAACUUAAAACUCCAGAGGUGCUGAAGUCUGACCAUAGGUUUGACUGUGGUGCCAUUUCUUUCCUGCGAUGCACUGCUCAUAGUAACCUGGUCUGGAGAGAUGCCAAAAAAGACUUCUUUGUUAAAGCCCCUCAGCUCAGUAAUCCUCCUUCUGAGAACUGGAGUGAGGAAAUGGAAAUAGGAGACACUGCUUUCGUGGAGAUGCCCCGUGAAAUGUUAUCCAGGUUUGCACAAAACUACACGCUAGAUAAAUGCGCAGAGUAGGAAGCCUGUAACUUUAGCCAGUGUUCUAAAUCAGGAAGCAGCUUUAUGAAUGGAUUAGGAAAUGGUAUGUGUCCUGGUGCAGGUUAGUGAUUAAAGCCAUCCAUGUCCCAAGGACAUGCUCUAAGCAAUGCUUUCCCGAGGCUGAUCCUGUUCCUUCAGCUGUUUGAAAGCAAAUGCAGUAAUCCCUGGAGAGCUGGAGCACCUUUAUACCUUUGUGACUAAGUCGUCUGCAGACAGUGAACACCCGACAAAUAGAGGUUUCUGUGAUACUUAUAAGGUUGUAUUUUAAAAUGCAACUACUUGUAGGGCCUAGGAGAUGGCUCAGUCAGUGAGGAAGAGCCUGCUGUGGGAGCAUGAGGACCUGAGUUUGGAGCCCUGAAGCUCAUGUGAAAAAGCCAGUCCUGGCUCACAUGCCUCUACCAGAGGCAAGUAGGUCCCUGGAGCUGGCAGACUGGCUACUCUAGCCAUCUGGUGAGUUCUGGGCUCAGCAAGAGACCCUGUCUCAAAAGGUAAGGUGGAAAGUGAUCAAAGAAGACGCAUGAGCACACACAUGCACAUGUAUCCCGUUCCACAUGUGUGCACUACUCAUGCAACUUUUGAAAAUGUACGGGUGCCGUUCUUUACAAUAAUGAAGAAAAAUCAACAUGUUUUUGCUGGUGGGAUGCUCCUUUAGAGCUGGCUGGCCAUGCCUGCUUUUUUCUUAGUGCUUCCCCCUGAAUACGUCUUUCCAUUAUGCCUGCUCACCUUUCAAUUCAUCUGUUCUCCUUCAGUCUUUUCACAACACAAUUGAAUUUUGAAGCUCUCUGAUAGAUACUCAAUCCGAACAUGCCUCUUCCUCCUUCAGGUUAUGUUAAACUCCAACUACAAUCUUUCAAAUUCUCAAGACACUCUGCCAGAGUCAUGUGAUACAAGCUACACCUCAGCUUAAUAAGAAUUUAGCUUGGGUUUGCUUUCAGACAACUAAACCACGCUGUGACAGAUCCUACCGUUAAGCACUUUUUAUUGGGAACUGAAAAAAAAAUGGAUUUAGAGUUGGAUGCAAGCUACAAUCUCAGCACUUCAGGAAGCUGCUGUAGAAUAAUCACAAAAUCAAUUCUGAGGCCAGCCUAGGCUACAGACCAACACCCUGUCUUAAUUUCUUUGAGUUUAAUUUAUUAAUAUGAAAAUACAAAUUAAGCAUGCAUAAUCUGAAUUUCUGAGUACUGAAAUGUUCCCAAAUCCAAAUGAUUUUAUGUCCUAUUAGUAUGUCACCAGUAGAAAACUCUAUGAGACUGUGUUACAUCAUGACCCUAAUUAUUUAAAACAGUAUAUAAAAUCACCUUCAGACUGUGUAUAGAAAGUAUAUAUGAAACUAAAGAAUAUCUUUAAAAUUAGUUCCCAUCCUAAAGAUACCUCAUUAUGCAUAUACAAAUAUUCCAAAAUUUAAAAAAAAGUCCAAACAAGUAUAAUCCCCAACAUUUUGGAUGAGGGACAGCUAACUGUGCAUCCCCAUUCAGGUGAUUAUCAGGUCAGUUGAAGGAGAGGUUACAGAGCUUCUUAAGAUAAACUCACCAAGCACUCUAGACAGUGGCUCUCAUUCCCUGAAAAUGUAGAACUCUAAGCACAAGGAAGACUGAAUUAAUAUUCAUACAGGACUUCACGUCUAAUUUUCAUAAUUUAAGUGCAUGUGAAAAGCACCCAUGCUGUACUAUAAUGCACCAUGCCAUGCUGACUUUCAUCCAGUCUUGUUUUAUUCACAUAGACAGAUCUCACUCAUUUAUUUAUUCAGGUCUUUUUUUUUUUUUCGAGGAACAGAGUUGAGCCAAAUCUUUGACUUAAUGCUGUAGUCUAUUUAGCCCCAUCAAUAAUGGACAAAAUGGUUCCCUCCAGUUCUUUGUUAUCACAACCAAUGCCAUCAGGAACAUCUUUGAUGAUAUUUAUGUCAAACCAGUGCAGUCAGAGCCUCAAGGGCCAUAUUCAGAUUACAUUAUGUUCACUGUUGUAAACAUCCCUCGAUUUGUGCACCAGGCUGACCUCGAACUCACAGCUAUCUGCCUGCCUCUGCUACCCAGAGUGCUGGGAUUACCAGUGUGCGUCACUAUGCCCAGUGGAUCAGUUUACUUUGAUGAUAGUAUUCUAGAAGGUACAUUUUCACUUUAACUUGGAAAUCAGACUCUGGCUAGAAAUAUCAACUAACCAGCAAAAGCAAGAUGACUUUACCACCUCUGACUUUCUCGUUUGACUUUGCUGUUUGCAUUCUAUUCCUCCUACUAGCAAGAGUGCCAAAGUGCCUUUCUGUACUUGGCCCAUCAGUUCCUAGCUUCCUUCCCUAUUCUGUUUUUCUCCUUAGCACUUACCAACCAUUGUAUAUUUACCCUGCCCAUUUGUUGCCCCGUUCCCGUCUUUGGAAUGUGAGUUCUACAUGGUGCCAACUUUUGUCUCUUUUGCUUACUACAGUAUUCCCACCAACUAAGGCUCAUACAUAGUGACUCGUGAACACAGUAGGCUCGCAAUCGUUGCUUGUCAAGUAAGUGAAUUAUGCCGACUGAUGUUCUACUUGCCUGGAACAACUCUGAGGUCCUACUAGCGGAAGGUGGGGAAGGGAGGAAAGGAGGAAGGCGAAACCAAGAAAGAAGGAGGAGGAAUUUUGCCCCCAGGAGGAAGCGAUAACAAGAGCAGAAGAAAAGACUACCGCAGAAGAAAUGUCAGUAGAGAAUAAAGUUACAAGACAGCAGAUAGAACUAGGUCUCUGAUGGUUUGAGAAAAAACAUGGUCGGAGCACAGGUGGUGAGAAGAGCACGGAAUGAAUUCUGCAGGCUCAAGCCUGGGAGAAAAACCUCCCCAACUUCUCAGCAAGGUUGACGGGCAAGUUUUCUGAAGGGUUUGAAUGCCGUGUACCAGCUGUCUCCUGUACCACCAAGCUACAUUCCUGGCUGUGAGCCUCCUUUUGAGAGCUGGACCUGUUGGACCCACCGAAUUUUAACCAGCAACCUUCCCUACUCCUUUGCUACCUGCAACUUUUGGGGACUGGACAGUUUCAGAAGUGACCUUUGUUACUGUGGGGAUGAAGAAAGGACGGGUGAAUGCUGAGUCAGGUAUAUCGAAAGCAGUCUCUAUCUGUCCUUUUGUUUUUCCCACAGGCAGGUCACUUGGUUGUAAUGCUGGUAGUGGGCUGUGAUGUGAGAAGAGAAGGGAGUGGAUCUUUUUUCUUUCUUAUCACAGCAAUCUCUGCUGUGGUAACGGGUAGAGGAAACUCACUGGGAGAUCCCAGUGAUGUCUAGCAAAGGUUAAGGAUGUGAAUUCGUGGCUGCCAGUGCACGCCUGCUUGUGCUCAGCAGCCCAGGUGCAGGCCAAGAACUUUGACCCCAGGGUGGAGUUCUUAUUUUUGGCCAUCUGAGCAAGUUCAAACAACGUGGCCAUAAGUCAAGGUGUCUUGGCUGAAGCGACAGAACCUAAGGUAGGAGAGGAGAUGAGCACAGUCAGGAGACGUAGUGGGGACCACACUGAGGGUCUUGUGAACUAAAGCUAGGGUGAUCAAGCUGUAAUCUGUCACCUCGGAUGGGGCCAGACCCUGAGAUUAUUCAGUAGGUCUCAGGGGCAGGAGCAGAAUUUGUUUUUAAAACGAUUCUUAGUUGAUGCUGCUAUAAGAGGGCUAUGGGCCAUUUUCUGGGAAACAUUGGGUUUGCAAUUGUAGUAAAUUUAAGAGGGACGAGAGAGAGAGAGAGAGAGAGAGAGAGAGAGAGAGAGAGAGAGAAAGAGAGAGAGAGAGAGAGAGAGAGAGGGAGAAAGAGGGAGACAAA